UUGUAGGGGAAGGGUGAGAACCUUCGAUUAAGGUUCGACUCGAGCGAAAGCGAGAGAACGUUGCCAACGGCAACGGCCCGUAGGGUGAGGAGCGAAGCGACGAAUAAUCCUUCCCCUACCACCA
rnacentral:sRNA from 1 species